GACGAACGCUGGCGGCGUGCUUAACACAUGCAAGUCGAACGAAGUGGCGAACGGGUGAGGAAUACGUGGGUAACCUGCCCUCCUUUUUGGGAUAAGCCUUGGAAACGGGGUCUAAUACCGAAUAAAGGGGGAUGGGCUAGUGGCCUAUCAGCUUGUUGGUGUGGUGAUGGCCUACCAAGGCGGUGACGGGUAGCCGGCCUGAAAGGGUGACCGGCGACAUUGGGACUGAGAUACGGCCCAGGAUCCUACGUGAGGCAGCAGUGGGGGCUAUUGCACAAUGGGCGAAAGCCUGAUGCAGCGACGCCGCGUGGGGGAUGAAGGCUUUCGGGUUGUAAACCUCUUUAGCUAUAAAACGGGUAGGUGGAGAAGAAGCGCCGGCUAACUACGUGCCAGCAGCCGCGGUAAUAC
rnacentral:rRNA from 1 species